rnacentral:piRNA from 1 species
UGAUGAGGUGUCCUCGGACUGGCUGCCCGC